GACGACUUUUGGCGGCGCGCCUAACACAUGCAAGUCGAACGGAGCUUAGAGAGCUUGCUUUUUAAGCUUAGUGGCGAACGGGUGAGUAACGCGUGAGUAACCUGCCCUAGAGUGGGGGACAACAGUUGGAAACGACUGCUAAUACCGCAUAAGCCCACGGUGCCGCAUGACACUGAGGGAAAAGGAUUUAUUCGCUUUAGGAUGGACUCGCGUCUAAUUAGCUAGUUGGUGAGGUAACGGCCCACCAAGGCGACGAUUGGUAGCCGGACUGAGAGGUUGAACGGCCACAUUGGGACUGAGACACGGCCCAGACUCCUACGGGAGGCAGCAGUGGGGGAUAUUGCACAAUGGGGGAAACCCUGAUGCAGCGACGCCGCGUGGAGGAAGAAGGUUUUCGGAUUGUAAACUCCUGUCGUUAGGGACGAUAAUGACGGUACCUAACAAGAAAGCACCGGCUAACUACGUGCCAGCAGCCGCGGUAAAACGUAGGGUGCAAGCGUUGUCCGGAAUUACUGGGUGUAAAGGGAGCGCAGGCGGGAAGACAAGUUGGAAGUGAAAACCAUGGGCUCAACCCAUGAAUUGCUUUCAAAACUGUUUUUCUUGAGUAGUGCAGAGGUAGAUGGAAUUCCCGGUGUAGCGGUGGAAUGCGUAGAUAUCGGGAGGAACACCAGUGGCGAAGGCGGUCUACUGGGCACCAACUGACGCUGAGGCUCGAAAGCAUGGGUAGCAAACAGAAUUAGAUACCCUGGUAGUCCAUGCCGUAAACGAU
rnacentral:rRNA from 1 species